GAAUGUAGGCGUGUCUGUUGGGACCAUAUAUCUUAUUCUGCAGACACAAGGACCCAGCAUCCUCUGUGCUGCUCAGACUGCAGUUUCUGUUCCAGGAUCUUCAUCCAAACAAGAGUUCUGAGCUCAUUUCUGAUUGUGAGAAAUCAACAUGAAGCUCUGUUCUACAAUAGCUGUUCUGCUUAUAGCAGCUUGUCUGUUUGUGCCCUCUAUACAGCGAAAACCUGGGGACUGCCCAACACACAUUAGGCAGUAUUAUAAAGGAUGUAGCUAUGACGAGGAAUGCCCCGGAAAUGAAAAAUGCUGUUACGUUGAUCAUGGACGGCACUGUGUUUCUCCUAUUUUCGUUUAGCAAAAACUUUGUGGAAAACAUCUGUUCAUUCCUCACCGUCAUGAUGAUAAUGAUGGUGAAUGCAGCUGCAAGAAGAAGUGCUCUCUAAA